rnacentral:rRNA from 1 species
AUGAGUACCAUCGUUUGGAAUUGUCGUGGGGCGGGCAACCCUGCGACAAUUUGUAAGCUUUGUGAAAUCACGAAGUGUUUUGCCCCAGCGAUCCUGUGCAUUCUUGAAACUCAGAUAGAAGGGUCGAGAGUUGAAAAUCUUUCUGUUUUUUUAGGUUUUAAUAAAGCUUUUGCUGUUAGUAGUGUUGGAAGAAGCGGUGGUCUUGGUGUAUUUGGGAAUGAUGCAAUAAAAGCAAGUGUUAUUGGUUACUCUCCUUAUCAUAUAGACAUGGAAGUUCACGAACUGGGCAAUACUCCCUUCAGGUUCACCUUUGUUUAUGGUGAGGCGCAGGUCCCGGAACGCUAUAAAACUUGGGACACAUUGCGAGGCUAG